GCAAAAGUUUGGACACCUUGCAGUUGACCGGGGGGCCCAAACUGCAUGCCAGUGAAACUCUACUUUGACAGCCGAGCACUUCAUGUUAUCUGUGGAUCAGGCCAUUGUGAAUGGCCAUAUCACUAUCUUCAACAACGCACUUAUCCUGAUGUUUGGCUCUUACUACUGCAUGAACAUUUCUUAUCCAGUAACCCAAGCAGCAACUUUGGAAUUCUUGCAACGGUAAGGUGGCACCAGUCAAUUUUAUGCAUUGAAACAUAAGAAUGAUGAGACAGUGAAAUCUAAAGUAAUGCAAUCCAAAUCAAAUCAUCAGAUCUCCUUUCAUUUGCAGCUAAAACGCAUAAGACUGAGCAAUGCUUGAGUGUUGAGAUGAUUUGUAGAUUGAUAAAUCAACAAAUAAUUAAUAUUUGAGUUUCAGAUGGCUGUCUCUGAAAUAUCCUUGAUUCAUGCUCAUGUCAAGUUAUAGAAAGAGACCUUUGAGAAGUAGGUGUUCACAGAUGUUUCACUACCCUGAAACAGUAUUUGCAAGACUCACAGGUUAACCAAACAUCUUUGCAUCACCUCUCUGUUCCACAAUGACCUGUAUGUCCAAACAUGCACUCAAAAGCAAGCUCAAUCUACACUUAGAUUCAUUGCAAAUGUAAAAAAAACAUACAGUCCAGUCCUCAGUUUCUUAAUGAAGUUGUUGUUUUUCAUUCGACAGAUGCCUUAAGAUAAACCCAAAGUGGAGCGGAACACAUCUAAGAAAAACCUUGCAGUCAAUCCAAAGGUUCUGACACUGAUCACCAAAAUUGCAGACUACGAGUGGAGAGCAUAAAAAGUUCUUAUUUUUAUCCAGAGGAUAACAUAAUCUGCUGUUCAGUAGCACUGGUGGCCCACUUGAUAUGGGAAAAGUGAAAUAUAGGCUGCAAAUCCUAUUCACAUUUAGCUAGCGUUAGUGCUAGCCAGUUAGUAUGUUACUGUCUGCUGACAGGCUUCUCUGUCACUCUGUCCUGCGAUAGGUGUAGCAUUGUCUUAAGUAUUAUCUUCAUCUCAGUUCAUUGUAAUAGACUGACUUAACUUGUCAGUUAAGUAUAAUCAGCAUAACAAUGAGGCUUUUGUUUUACUCUAGUUGUUCUUUGCAUAUAAUUACAUUGCAAAUUUCUCCAAGGGAACGCAAAUGGCCAGCAGCAGCCCUAAAUGUGAGACUUUCAGAAAGCUAGAGCUACUUCUAAACCUGCAGGUUAUGUGCCUCAAAUAUUCCCCUUUUCGUUGUUCCAGAUGUGGUGAGGCAGAUGAACAUUUGAGGUGGCAGUGUCCCCUUCUUUUGUGCUCAAAUGUGCGUUUGAAUUGGAUUUUUUUUUUCUAUGUGCCUUUGUUCAUGCAUAAGUGUUAGUUGUUCUUGGAUUGUUCCAGGAAGGGUUAUCUUUUUGUCAAUAAAAUCCAUGUUAAUGAUUGAAA